GGUUGUAAAAAAAGAAUGUUUGACAGGGUUUGGCUAAAAGAGGACAAGGGGGCGGUAGUAAGCGAGUCCGACGUGUGUACGAAUCAACAUUGAACUUACUUUUUGUAUGUCGGCCACACGGCGCGGCGAGUUGAUUUGUAUGCGACGAUUCAUUUGGGGAAGACAGCAACAGCGCAUAGUACUACAGGACGUCGCGGAUCAUUUCAAUGUUUUGCACCGGGAAGCACGACUAGCACAGUAACACCGCGAUUCAUAUUUAAAAGGUAUAAUGCGAAUGGUUAGAAGAGCUCGAAUUCAAACAAAAUGGAAACAAUUUAGAAUCGCUGCGGCAUUCCAUGUAGCCAGAAGGACUACUAGGGUAGAACAUAGCUGGAUAGAGAGCUAGUUAUUAACUAAUAUACAUGCGAAGUUACAUAUCAGAAAAGCUCAAACAGAGCCUAUAGUAAGUUGGUUGAAACUAUUAGUUCGUUGGUGUCCCCAGUCACCAAAGAAGACUGAAGAAAAUACUGAAAUAUGCUACGGAGAAGACUGAACCGUUUGUUUGGUAGGGACGAGAGGAAAGUAGACAGCAGGACCAUCUACGUAGGUCACCGGCCCUGUCCCGCCACCGAAGCUUUAAUCCCCCCCAAGUUCUGUGACAACCGGAUUGUCUCUUCCAAGUACACGGUGUGGAACUUUCUGCCAAAGAAUCUGUUUGAGCAGUUCAGAAGAAUCGCCAAUUUCUACUUCCUCAUCAUCUUUUUGGUGCAGGUGAUCGUAGACACCCCCACCAGCCCAGUCACUAGUGGCCUACCCCUGUUCUUUGUCAUCACUGUCACAGCCAUCAAACAGGGCUAUGAGGACUGGCUGCGGCACAAGGCAGAUAAUGAGGUGAAUAAAUACCUGGUGACGGUGCUGGAGGACGGCCGGAGAGCAUGCAAGGAGAGCGAGAAGAUCAAGGUUGGGGAUGUGGUGGAGGUGGUUGAGGAUGAGACCUUUCCCUGUGACCUCAUCCUGCUACAGUCCAGCCGGGAGGACGAGACCUGCUUUGUCACCACGGCCAGUCUGGACGGGGAGUCCAACCAUAAGACACACUACACAGUGCCAGACACGGAGAGGAACCUGGAGUCUCUCAGCGCCACCAUCGAGUGCGAGCAGCCGCAGCCUGACCUCUACAAAUUUGUGGGGCGUAUGCACAUCUACAGGAACAACCAGGAACCCGCUGUGAGGUCUUUGGGUCCAGAGAAUCUCCUCCUGAAAGGUGCUACCUUGAAGAACACUCAGAAGAUAUAUGGUGUGGCAGUUUACUCAGGCAUGGAGACCAAGAUGGCUCUGAACUACCAGGGGAAGUCCCAGAAGCGCUCUGCGGUGGAGAAGUCUAUCAAUGCCUUCCUGCUGGUGUACCUGUGCAUCCUGGUGAGCAAGGCCCUGGUGUGCACCACGCUCAAGUAUGUGUGGCAGAACCGACCAGGCCAGGACGAGCCCUGGUACAACCAGAAGACGCAAAAGGAGAAAGAUGCCAACCUGUACCUGAAGAUGUUUACUGACUUCCUGUCGUUCAUGGUUCUGUUCAACUUCAUCAUCCCCGUGUCCAUGUACGUGACGGUGGAGAUGCAGAAGUUCCUGGGCUCCUUCUUCAUCUCCUGGGACAAGGACUUCUUUGACCCCGAGAUCCAGGAAGGGGCUCUGGUCAACACAUCCGACCUCAAUGAGGAGCUGGGACAGGUGGAGUACGUGUUCACGGACAAGACGGGCACGCUGACCCAGAACAACAUGGAGUUCAUCGAGUGCUGCAUCGACGGCUUCCAGUACAAGUACGCCGACUCAGGCACCGAGCUGGACGGCUUCUGUGUCACAGAUGGACCCGUGAACAUUCUGCAGCAGAAGGCUGGCAGGGAGAAGGAGGAGCUGUUCCUGCGUGCUCUGUGUCUGUGCCACACGGUGCAGGUGAAGGAGGCUACGGGUCAGGGGGAUGGAGUAGCAGACGGUGUAGAGGACCAGGUGGACGGUGUCAUGGGGCUGGAUGGAGAGACGGUCGGGCCUGCGGACCUCGGGGGCUUCAUUGCCUCCUCACCCGACGAGGUGGCACUGGUCAAGGGAGCCAUGAAGUACGGUUUCAAAUUCCUUGGUAUGGAGAGCAAGAACAUGAGAGUGAUGAACAGAAACAACGAUGUUGAAACGUACGAACUGCUUCACGUGUUGAACUUUGACCCGGUGCGAAGGCGUAUGAGUGUGAUAGUCCGAACCAAAUCAGGGGACACCAUGCUGUUCUGUAAGGGGGCCGACUCCUCUAUCUUCCCCCGUGUCAGGCAGGAGGAGGUGGACAGGAUACGCAUGCACGUGGAACGCAACGCUACGGAGGGCUACCGGACGCUGUGUGUGGCCUACAAGCUGCUGAGCAGGGAGGAGUAUGACCAGGCAGACACGGGGCUGAGGGAAGCCAAGCUGGCCCUGCAGGACCGAGAGGAGAAACUCAUGGCUGUGUACAACCAGGUGGAGACCGGGAUGAGCCUGAUCGGCGCUACCGCCGUGGAGGACAGGUUGCAGGAGGAGGCAGCCGAGACCAUGGAGGCCCUGCAGGGAGCAGGCAUGAAGGUGUGGGUGCUGACGGGGGACAAGAUGGAGACGGCCAAGUCCACGUGCUAUGCCUGCCGGCUGUUCCAGAGGAGCACAGAGCUGCUGGAGCUGACGGUGCGAACCCUGGUGGACCUGGGGAGGAAGAGAGAGGAGCGCCUGCACGAGCUGCUGCUAGACUACCACAAGAGGGCAGUACAGGACGCCCCACCGAUCAAGGCUGGGGUCACCAGGAGCUGGUCUUCAGCGAACCAGGACUACGGCUUCAUCAUAGACGGAGCCACUCUGUCCUUGGUGCUUAACUCCUCUCCGGAAUCCAACUCCAGCUGCUACAAGAGUCUCUUCCUCCAGAUCUGUCAGAACUGUACCACUGUGCUGUGCUGUCGCAUGGCUCCCCUACAGAAGGCCCAGAUAGUAAAGAUGGUGAAGAACUGUAAAGGCAGCCCCAUCACCCUCUCCAUCGGAGAUGGGGCCAACGAUGUCAGUAUGAUCCUGGAGGCACACGUUGGCAUCGGUAUAAAGGGUAGGGAGGGUCGCCAGGCAGUGAGGAACAGUGACUAUGCCAUCCCUAAGCUCAAGCACCUGAAGAAACUGUUACUGGGACACGGGCACCUCUACUACGUUCGUAUUGCCCACCUGGUGCAAUACUUCUUCUACAAGAACCUCUGCUUCAUCUUACCUCAGUUCUUGUACCAGUUUUUCUGUGGAUACUCCCAGCAACCUCUCUACGACGCAGCCUAUCUGACGAUGUACAACAUCUGUUUCACCUCCAUGCCUAUCCUGGCCAACAGCCUCUUGGAGCAGCACAUCUGUAUGGAGGUCCUGAUGGACAACGCCGCCCUCUACAGGGACGUAGCAAAGAAUGCCAUGUUGGGUUGGGGGCCCUUCCUGUACUGGACACUACUGGGGGUCUACCAGGGCCUCUUAUUCUUCUUCGGGGUCCGCUUUCUCUUUAGUAACCCCGCCCUGCAGGAUAAUGGCCAGGUGUUUGGGAAUUGGUCGUACGGAACGAUUGUUUUUACUGUCCUCGUUUUCACUGUGACGCUGAAGCUGGCUAUGGACACUCGCCAUUGGACGUGGAUCAAUCACUUUGUCAUCUGGGGCUCGCUGGCCUUCUACAUGUUCUUCAGCUUCUUCUGGGGUGGGAUCAUAUGGCCUUUCCUUCGGCAGCAGCGUCUCUACUUUGUGUUUGCUAAUAUGCUGAGCUCUGUGUCAGCCUGGCUGAUCAUCAUCCUGCUCAUCCUGCUCAGCCUGUUGCCUGAGAUCCUGCUGCUGGUCCUCCGAAAGCCCCGUGGGCCCCACUCACGACAGGUGAAUGCAGCACGCAAACAAAUGAGAUUUACCUGCAUGCCAGCGUGCUCCAGACCCCAGCCAACCCUGGACCCCACCACAACCGCAGUGGGCCACUACAGACAUUUCUGGGUGGUUGUGUGUUGCUAUGAAUGUGUCUUUUUAAUCAUAACUUUCUAGUUAAUGUCACCCAAAUGCCCCAAAGGAUAUUUGAAGUAUUUGGAUAGCUGUACCAAUAAUGUGUAUUAGUCUAUUAAGAUGGCUUUGUGUUGACCUUAAAUAAUGCGACAUUAAGAACGACGCAAGCUUUCUAAAACAUUGACCCUCCUGGGUAGAGGAGAGAGAAUUCACCAAGGAGAGUGUGUGUUUUAAACUACAUUACAUUGUCCAACUUCUGUCUCAAGUGUGUAAGUGUCUGUCUGUCAGCACGAGGUGCCAUUAGUGUCUCUUGCUUCACCCUUCCAGAAGAAGCCAGUGGUUCAGUCGGGCGUGGGGGAAACCCAGUCUCCCCGGUCUUCAGCCAGGCCCCUGCUCAUGAAAACCUUUUCAGACGAGUCCAAUACUAUCCUAUGAACAGCCUUCAGAGGACUCCCUCCUAAAAACAUCCAGAUCGCUGCUGUCACGCCCUUGUCCUACAAGCACCUGAUCGGGCAGGAGUGAAGGGCAGAACGGAGGGUUAACUAUACUGCGGCCAGUGUCUUUCAGGCCCCCAUGGCAGUCAAGCUGGCUGCCAGCACUUUUGCCUGAUCUAAAAAGAAAAUGGAAAUUGACAAAAAGAAAAUAGAAAAGAUGCUAGAAGAGCCAG